rnacentral:rRNA from 1 species
UACGGAGGGUGCGAGCGUUGUCCGGAAUCACUGGGCGUAAAGGGCGCGUAGGCGGCCGUGUAAGUCACUUGUGAAAUCCCGGGGCUCAACUCCGGGGCUGCAGGUGAGACUGCGUGGCUAGAGCUUGGUAGAGGCGAGUGGAAUUCCCCGGUGUAGCGGUGGAAUGCGUAGAUAUCGGGAAGAACACCAACGGCGAAGGCAGCUCGCUGGGGACGGAACUGACGCUGAGGCGCGAAAAGCGUGGGGGAGCGAACAGG